rnacentral:lncRNA from 10 species
UAAGGGUCUUUAGUCUUGGAUUAUUACAGCAAGCAAACAAGCAGAUGGCAUCAUUGCUGAGCAGGGUUCCAGUGCGAAGGAUGAUACACUGAGCUCCCAAAUCAUAAUUGAACAGUGGGAUGGAUGGCCAAACAAACUUUCUGGUGGCUGUUAAGAAGAACAAAAUUCUUUGCAGAAGCACGUGCCAGUGUUUUACAAUGCACAGCACACAUCGAGGCCUGCGGCACACACUGGAACACAAUCGGAUUCUGGAGCUCUAGGGACAAAGAGCACUGCUAAUUUGUGCAGCCGCUGCCUUAGAAUGG